rnacentral:rRNA from 1 species
UACGGAGGGUGCGAGCGUUGUCCGGAAUCACUGGGCGUAAAGGGCGCGUAGGCGGCUUUGUAAGUUAGAGGUGAAAGCCCGGGGCUCAACUCCGGAAUUGCCUUUAAGACUGCAUCGCUAGAAUUGUGGAGAGGUAAGUGGAAUUCCGAGUGUAGAGGUGAAAUUCGUAGAUAUUCGGAAGAACACCAGUGGCGAAGGCGACUUACUGGACACAUAUUGAC